rnacentral:lncRNA from 1 species
CCCUGUGCUAAAUAGCCAAAGGAAACAUACUCCAGGCCCUAUGCCAACACCAAACCGUCGCCCGGGACGGACCGGAAUCUAUCCCUACGUCCCGUAGCGGAAAGGACCACUAGGUAAGUACAAAACCACUGAACAUAUUUAUAUUGAAAAACAACUUCGUAGUAUAAAGUCAUCCAUCAUCUAUACUACAAAGAGGUGUUCUAAACAUGUUCUAAAUAUCAUAUCGUCAUCCAUCGGAUAUUCUAUAAGGACAUGGGUUAUAGGAAAAAUAGUAAUAAUUCAAUCUAGCCUCAGUAAGCAUACUAUCUCAUAAAGUACUUCAUAAAACAUAAGUAUUAAAUCAUGCUUUUCAUGUAUGCAUUUCUAUUAAUAAAACAUGCAUUUUUAGAAGGGGUCCACUCACCGUACACCGAUGAUGCAAAGCUGUACCAAAAAGGUAUAGCGGAAUCACCGUUAAUAAUUUCACCUAUUCACAUAAAGGAGUACCUUUGGUCAAACUCUAUUCAAACUAAGUCAACAGUCAACUGGUCAGAGGUCAAAGUCAAUUGGGCUUUGAAUUGGGUUGGGCUGAAAAGGGCCUUAAAGGUUUUGAGGAAAAGGGCUUUCAGCCCCUUAACAGAAAAUGGCCCAAAGGGCCCUAAAUUCCUAAAACAGAAAAUAAAAUAAAUAACCUUAAAAGGUUUUUGGGUUGGGUCAUGGGCCACAUGCCCUAAACAUAAACGGCCCGAGGGCCUUUGGGUCCUAAAACAAUAACAAUUAAAUUAAAUUAAAAAAAAUAAUUAAAAGGAUAUGGGUUAGGAUUUGGGCUUCCCCACCACACGGGCCUAAGGCCCUCUUGCUACAGGAACCGGCCUGGAAGGCCUGGCCUCACCGGAGCACCACCACCGGAGCUUCACAGCUCCGGCCGACUUCCACACACAACCCUAGACUUCGAUCUAGGUACCAAAACGAAGAGCAAGACGAGGGGAGAAUUUCUAUACCUUCCUUUCGUCGUGGAACGACCGGAGAUGGCCGGAAUAACCCCCGAGGUCGCCGGAGUUGGGUGUGCUUACACCCGGCUUCGAUUUCGUCCUAUAACCUCCAAAAAUCACGAAUUAACUCCAAUUAAACCUCAAUCUCGCAAGAAUCAAGGACGAAAAGAGAGAAUUAGGGGCUUACCUAACCGGAGAUUGAAAAUCUCGCCGGAGCUCCUUUUCCGGUUCUCUGGGGUCGCGGGAACGAGAGGGAGAGAGAGAGAGAGCAGGACGCGGUGAUGAAGGGUGAUGGGCUUCCUCGCGUGGGGAGAUGGGUGCGUGCGUGUGUGCGCGGUGCAGAGAAGAGGGAGAGAAGUGAGAGAUGAGAGAGAGCCGAGAGGGAGAGACAUGAAGAAAGAAAAGAAAAACAAAAAAAAGAAGAAGAAAGAAGGGAGUUCACGGGGGGGAAAGAGAGAAGAAAGAGAAAUUAGUUGGGGGGCUGCCACGUGGCAGAUUUAGAAAGAAAAGGGAUCCAAUGCUUUGGAUCCUGAUUUGGUAGACAAAAAAGAUGAAAUUGAUAUAUUUAAAACAUUUAGGGGUAAUUAAAAACAUAAAUCUUUAUAAUUAGGGGGCAGGUGUUACAAUCUUCCCCCCUUAUAAAAAUUUCGUCCCCGAAAUUUAAAAUUACUACUAAACUGAAAUACUCUAAAAUAGUAAGAAGAAUAUAUAUAUAUAUAUAUAUAUAUAUAUAUAUAUAUAUAUAUAAAGAGAAAUCUAGUGAGAGUGGGUGCAUCAAAGAGAAUAUGUCACACCGUCGCGAGCGGGUUGCAAAAUCCUCUAUCAUGCCUCCAAACUCUUACUUUCAUCCCCAUCAGUGUAAAAAUAGAAAACAUACUUUAAUAAGAUAUAAGGUCAAAAACAUAUAUUGACGUAAGGUCAAAAAUAAGUACAUAAAAUACGAUAACGUCAAAAUAGAGAUAUACUAACAUAUAGGUCGAAAACUCGAGCUGAACUUAAAAUUGAAAAUGGAAAACACUUUCCUCUAAACAUUUGUAACAACAAAAACAAAUAACUAAAGUAAAGGAAGUUAAAAUACUUAUACUGAAAACCAAAACUGAAAAUGGAAAUGGGUCUCGCCCAAGAAUUCGUAACUUCACACUCCGAGAAAAGAUGUCUUUGGGUCGAGCCCCAAGAAUAUCAAUUCUUAAUCUGCAUCAGCUGCUGUAGACGAAUCUUCUUGUCCACUUGCUUAACGAACCCAACGAAUAAGUUAUCGAUACAACAGUCGGCCGCCCGUGAUAUCGAUCAUAUAUUUGUUGUCUCGAUAAGCAAGCAGUAAUUUCCUGAUGGUGCACAAUUUCACAUGUCGUAAAUUCGAUCCUCCGAAUACAAGCUCGCACAACUCCUCUAACAACCAAUGUUGCAUGUAGCAACUUUCGUACCAUGCCGCAACAAGUGCCAUACUCAAACCGAACAAAAUACGAACUGUCGUCGUAAAACUUUAUCCAGCACCAAGCAUCCUAUCCUCCUCAGUUCUUCCAAAUGUGACCAACUACUCCAGAGUAUCACUAGUAAAGAACCCAUUUGAAAAUUGUACCUUGGGAUUCAAGAGAAGUGGCUACCAUGUUAGUAAUAGACCCAAAAGCUCGAACCAAGCAAGCAGAAAACGAGAAGUCAUCUUCCUCAACACGCAGUAUCUCUUGGGAGUUGUUCUAAUGCCCAAUCCACUUCUCCAUUUUUGCUUAGUUGCAGACUUCUAGUCAAACAAAGUCAAAGUUGGAGGAAAGAAGAAGGACUCUCAAGUGAUCAACGUAAAAACCCCAUAAGAGCACACCCCAUUCAAUAGAAGUUUAAAGAUCUUCCGAUUCUCACCUCAACAGCACUGUGGUGACAUUCCAGAGUGCACCAAACAGAUCUGCUAUAAGUGUUUCGACAACCACGUAUUCAUAACAAUAAGGUUCAGAAGUGAAGCAGUGGAAAUAUACGUUGAGACGAACACAUAUCAUCAUAAAAAAGGUCUACCAGAGUAAGAUAUGAUAGUUAUGAAUGGUAGCAACAUAAUGAGUGGUGACCAUUCAAUUCAGCAUGAAGAUAGUGAUGCAAUAUGCUAUUCAUCUGCACCACAACCUUUCACCAGUAUCUUACCAAAAGACGACUCAAACUUCACAUCCUCGAGGAACUCUUUCUGGUAAGUCUGGUAAGCUUGUCAAAAUAUUAUGCUCCCAACAUUCCUGCCCAAAUCGAUGAAAAUUGAGCGCACACUUCCGCCAAAUCGAUCAAUCGUGAAUUCCUCAUUGAUUGAGCGAGAAACCAUGUCGAGAAGGCUAAAAGAACACUCAAGAAUUUGAGAGUCAAAACAAGUUUAUUAAAACUGGAGCACAAGAUAUUGCGAUUUGAACGAGAAACCAUGCCGAGAACAAACGUUUUUUUUUUUUUACACCCUCCGUAUAAUAUCCCGGCAUGAUCUGGUUCACAUUGAGAAACAAACAAGUGAAGGAAAAUGAAGAUGCAGAAAUAGAAGUCACUGUUUAUGAUUAUUUGGCUAAUCAUCACCAUAAGGUUGACGGGUUUCUUAGCCAAAAGGGAAACAGGUCUAAGCUCAAAGAAUAGUUAACAACUGCUUAUAAGAUUUGACGAGGCCAAAGACAUUUCGAGAUUCACAAUACUUUGUGAGAGCUGUUUCAAAGUUCAUAAAUUAAACAUAGAACCUUCGAAUCAACAGAAUGACGAAGAAGAAAGAUACAAAGCAGCCUGCGUACGCAUGCAGUGACACGAUUGGCUACCUUAAAGUGAUGCCCGUGAGCAAACCAAAGCUCAAUGAGUCUAGAGAAUUUUAUAGCAAAGCUCGAUCUUCAUACAAUGAUGAAUAUGGUAGAGUAUCAAGCCAUUACGCUGAAAAUUACAAGGUUAAACAGUUAGUGGACAAGAGCACUAGUCAGUUGGGCCACAAGCAAGAGGCUAAGUUCACCUUUACGUAAAAGUGCGUGGACAAGGAGUUAGGGUUUACCGCCGAGUACCAGACCCCGGUGAAAUUCAAGGAGUCUAAUUAUCCAAACAAGACUGGAUCUUCAUCAUCCAAGUCCAACUACCAUAACAACAAGAAUUGUAACUCCAUUUAGGGAAAUUGAUGGGAAUAGCAUCUGCUACCGAGGAGUUUCCCAAGAAAAGUAAUUAAUGCGAACGAAGUCAACACUCAAAGAAUUUGGUAUGAAACUGACGGUCAAAGGUUAAUGAACUUGAUUUCGUCAUUGGAAUAAGCAAGAAGGUUAUCAAUAGAACAAUCGACAAAGAUUCAUUCUAAAGAUUCACACGAAUGUCCUCAAUGGAAACGAGUCUGAGAACAUUGAUUUUCUCCCAAGAUUUCGAUGCAAAGUCGACUCCGCCCGCAAUUCCUAAGGAACGCAUGUUGCAGAGUGGCAUCGCCAUUUCGAAUUUACAACUAGUCUUGACCAGACUUCCUCAAACUGAGAUUUCUAAAACACGUCGCUUCCAAGUAACACCGACUAUGCCCGUCAUUCCCAAGGAAUGCACGUCGUAGAGUAUCAAUCUGAAGCUGAAAGUCGUCCAACAAAUCAAACACGUCACCGAUGAGGCACAAUCCCGACACGAAUUUUCUUAUAUUUCAACCGGAAUGUGACAAUUCAAACAGAGAAAAGCUCGCACAACUGUGCCGAAUGACAUCAAAUCUAGAAGUCCUGACAUCCAAAUGAUGUCAAAACCGACACACUACUUUAGUAAGAGAAUAUCCUAAGUAUGCUCUGAACAAACCACGCUCUGAUACCAAUCUGACACGCCCCGAUCCCGAUAUUUCCCCGAAUACUAGGAUAGGCACGUGCUGGCCGACACCCGAGGGUGACGAAAGCCAUUUAUUAAGUGCAAAUGCUGAAAACAACGGAUAUAUAAGACUUAUAAAUAUAAAAGAAUAAAGAAUAUGCAUUUAAGGAACGUGUUCAGAGCAUACAACUAACUAGAACAUCGAAAGAAAUAAUAUAAAUUGGAGUGAACAAAAGAAUGGAUCCUACACCGAAAGGACUCGAAGAUGCUGAAGCGGAAGUGCCUGGAUGUCAGGAUUGUACGCCUCGAUUCUAAGUCCUGAAGGGGGCGCAAAACAAACAUGAGUGGACCAAGUUGAUAUAUAUAUAGUAAAACAGUUAUCAACGUACUAACCCCCAGGUUUUAUGAAAACACAUAUAUAAUGAUAAACAUAGGUUUUCCAAAACCUAGCAUGCCGUGCAAUAUCUCAAAUCAUAACUUGUAUAUAUAAUAAUCACUAGUGAAUUGUCCGAUAACCCCCAGGCCCCAUGCCGACUCCCCGUCUCUGAGCAGACAAUCAGAGGAAAAUACACUUCAGGCCCCAUGCCGGCUCCCCAUCCCUGUGCUAAAUAGCCAAAGGAAACAUACUCCAGGCCCUAUGCCAACACCAAACCGUCGCCCGGGACGGACCGGAAUCUAUCCCUACGUCCCGUAGCGGAAAGGACCACUAGGUAAGUACAAAACCACUGAACAUAUUUAUAUUGAAAAACAACUUCGUAGUAUAAAGUCAUCCAUCAUCUAUACUACAAAGAGGUGUUCUAAACAUGUUCUAAAUAUCAUAUCGUCAUCCAUCGGAUAUUCUAUAAGGACAUGGGUUAUAGGAAAAAUAGUAAUAAUUCAAUCUAGCCUCAGUAAGCAUACUAUCUCAUAAAGUACUUCAUAAAACAUAAGUAUUAAAUCAUGCUUUUCAUGUAUGCAUUUCUAUUAAUAAAACAUGCAUUUUUAGAAGGGGUCCACUCACCGUACACCGAUGAUGCAAAGCUGUACCAAAAAG